AUCUUUGAGAAUGACAUGACUUGGGCAACUGCAGAUUAAGCCUGGGGAAAAACGGGAUUUUAAUAAAUAUUUACAUUUUCUUGUUUGGGUUUUAACCGAAUGUAUUAAAACUGUCGAUUUACAUUUGUUAUGUAAUCUCUCUAUAUUUGGACAAAGUAAUAUCCUCCCCUAAGUAACUAUGUUCACUUUUAUUUGUCCAUGAAGGAGAAAUAAUAAACUGUAUGCAUAUUUAUUAUAAUGAAUUCACAGGUAUUUCGAAUAGUAUGAAUAUUUUAUUAUAAUGA
rnacentral:misc_RNA from 1 species